AGACGUCUACAUUAGACUACCCCCGUAGUCCCAGCCGUAAACUAUGCGCGUUAGGUGUAUCGGUGACCACGAGUUACCGAGGUGCCGAAGGGAAACCGUGAAACGUGCCGCCUGGGAAGUACGGUCGCAAGGCUGAAACUUAAAGGAAUUGGCGGGGAGCACCACAACGGGUGGAGCCUGCGGUUUAAUUGGACUCAACGCCGGGAAGCUCACCGGAUAAGACAGCGGAAUGAUUGCCGGGCUGAAGACUCUGCAUGACUAGCUG
rnacentral:rRNA from 1 species